rnacentral:rRNA from 1 species
AUUGAACGCUGGCGGCAGGCCUAACACAUGCAAGUCGAGCGGCAGCGGGAAAGUAGCUUGCUACUUUUGCCGGCGAGCGGCGGACGGGUGAGGAAUGACUGGGAAAUUGCCCAGUCGAGGGGGAUAACAGUUGGAAACGACUGCUAAUACCGCAUACGUCCUACGGGGGAAAGCAGGGGACCUUCGGGCCUUGCCCGCAUGGCUAUGCCCAGGUGGGAUUAGCUAGUUGGUGAGGUAAUGGCUCACCAAGGCGACGAUCCCUAGCUGGUCUGAGAGGAUGAUCAGCCACACUGGAACUGAGACACGGUCCAGACUCCUACGGGAGGCAGCAGUGGGGAAUAUUGCACAAUGGGGGAAACCCUGAUGCAGCCAUGCCGCGUGUGUGAAGAAGGCCUUCGGGUUGUAAAGCACUUUCAGCGAGGAGGAAAGGUUGAUGCCUAAUACGCAUCAACUGUGACGUUACUCGCAGAAGAAGCACCGGCUAACUCCGUGCCAGCAGCCGCAGUAACAC